UUGAAUUUAUUGUGUUGCAGUGACCCUACAAUCCACAGCCUCCCAGCGCCCAGAGUGUAAUGUUCUGAAGAAGCAAGAACUUCACGUUCCAGAGGGAGAGCUCUUACUACAGGUGUUGAAUGGCUUUGUUCUGGUCGUCACGGCUGGUGGCACAAUCUUCUAUGCAUCCUCCACCAUCCAGGACUACCUGGGCUUCCACCAGUCAGACGUCGUCCAUGCCAGAGUGUUUAAUGACAUCAUUCAU